rfam:Colletotrichum sublineola strain TX430BB Scaffolds0545.1, whole genome shotgun sequence.
GGCCGGUUGGCCCAAUGGCAAGGCGUCUGACUACGAUAAUGUCGGUAUCAGGAGAUUCUGGGUUCGACCCCCAGGCUGGUCA